UACGGAGGGUGCAAGCGUUAUCCGGAUUCACUGGGUUUAAAGGGUGCGUAGGUGGGUUGGUAAGUCAGUGGUGAAAUCUCCGGGCUUAACCUGGAAACUGCCAUUGAUACUAUCAAUCUUGAAUACCUUGGAGGUGAGCGGAAUAUGUCAUGUAGCGGUGAAAUGCUUAGAUAUGACAUAGAACACCAAUUGCGAAGGCAGCUCACUACACAAUUAUUGACGCUGAGGCACGAAAGCGUGGGGAUCAAACAGG
rnacentral:rRNA from 1 species